rnacentral:rRNA from 1 species
AACCAACAAGCUUGCUUGUUGGGGUUGUAGGACACUCUAUACGGAGUUACAAAGGACGACAUUAGACGAAUCAUCUGGAAAGAUGAAUCAAAGAAGGUAAUAAUCCUGUAGUCGAAAAUGUUGUCUCUCUUGAGUGGAUCCUGAGUACGACGGAGCACGUGAAAUUCCGUCGGAAUCUGGGAGGACCAUCUCCUAAGGCUAAAUACUCUCUAGUGACCGAUAGUGAACCAGUACCGUGAGGGAAAGGUGAAAAGCACCCCGGAAGGGGAGUGAAAUAGAACCUGAAACCGUGUGCUUACAAGUAGUCAGAGCCCGUUAAUGGGUGAUGGCGUGCCUUUUGUAGAAUGAACCGGCGAGUUACGAUUUGAUGCAAGGUUAAGCAGUAAAUGUGGAGCCGUAGCGAAAGCGAGUCUGAAUAGGGCGUUUAGUAUUUGGUCGUAGACCCGAAACCAGGUGAUCUACCCUUGGUCAGGUUGAAGUUCAGGUAACACUGAAUGGAGGACCGAACCGACUUACGUUGAAAAGUGAGCGGAUGAACUGAGGGUAGCGGAGAAAUUCCAAUCGAACCUGGAGAUAGCUGGUUCUCUCCGAAAUAGCUUUAGGGCUAGCCUCAAGUGAUGAUUAUUGGAGGUAGAGCACUGUUUGGACGAGGGGCCCCUCUCGGGUUACCGAAUUCAGACAAACUCCGAAUGCCAAUUAAUUUAACUUGGGAGUCAGAACAUGGGUGAUAAGGUCCGUGUUCGAAAGGGAAACAGCCCAGACCACCAGCUAAGGUCCCAAAAUAUAUGUUAAGUGGAAAAGGAUGUGGCGUUGCCCAGACAACUAGGAUGUUGGCUUAGAAGCAGCCAUCAUUUAAAGAGUGCGUAAUAGCUCACUAGUCGAGUGACACUGCGCCGAAAAUGUACCGGGGCUAAACAUAUUACCGAAGCUGUGGAUUGUCCUUUGGACAAUGGUAGGAGAGCGUUCUAAGGGCGUUGAAGCAUGAUCGUAAGGACAUGUGGAGCGCUUAGAAGUGAGAAUGCCGGUGUGAGUAGCGAAAGACGGGUGAGAAUCCCGUCCACCGAUUGACUAAGGUUUCCAGAGGAAGGCUCGUCCGCUCUGGGUUAGUCGGGUCCUAAGCUGAGGCCGACAGGCGUAGGCGAUGGAUAACAGGUUGAUAUUCCUGUACCACCUAUAAUCGUUUUAAUCGAUGGGGGGACGCAGUAGGAUAGGCGAAGCGUGCGAUUGGAUUGCACGUCUAAGCAGUAAGGCUGAGUAUUAGGCAAAUCCGGUACUCGUUAAGGCUGAGC